rnacentral:rRNA from 1 species
UACGUAGGGUGCAAGCGUUGUCCGGAUUUAUUGGGCGUAAAGAGCUCGUAGGCGGUCUGUCGCGUCGGAUGUGAAAACCCAGGGCUCAACCCUGGGCCUGCAUUCGAUACGGGCAGACUAGAGUAUGGCAGGGGAGACUGGAAUUCCUGGUGUAGCGGUGAAAUGCGCAGAUAUCAGGAGGAACACCGAUGGCGAAGGCAGCUCGCUGGGACGGUACUGACGCUGAGGCGCGAAAGCGUGGGGAGCAAACAGG